CGUGUGAAUACACACUCACCAUUAUGAACCAUACCGACUUUGUAAGCUGGAGGAAAUGGGAAUUAAGGACACAGGCACUAACAGGUGAUUUUUUGUGACACUGUUGUGUGUGAAUAGGGAGGAACACACACUCACCAUUAUGAACCAUACCGACUUUGUAAGCUGGAGGAAAUGGGAAUUAAGGACACAGGCAGUAACAGGUGAUUUUUUUGUGACGCUGUUGCGUGUGAAUAGGGAGGAAUACACACUCACCAUUAUGAACCAUACCGACUUUGUAAGCUGGAGGAAAUGGGAAUUAAGGACACAGGCAGUAACAGGUGAUUUUUUUGUGACGCUGUUGCGUGUGAAUAGGGAGGAACACACACUCACCAUUAUGAACCAUACCGACUUUGUAAGCUGGAGGAAAUGGGAAUUAAGGACACAGGCACUAACAGGUGAUUUUUUUGUGACGCUGUGGCGUGUGAAUAGGGAGGAACACACACUCACCAUUAUGAACCAUACCGACUUUGUAAGCUGGAGGAAAUGGGAAUUAAGGACACAGGCACUAACAGGUGAUUUUUUGUGACACUGUUGUGUGUGAAUAGGGAGGAACACACACUCACCAUUAUGAACCAUACCGACUUUGUAAGCUGGAGGAAAUGGGAAUCAAGGACACAGGCACUAACAGGUGAUUUUUUUGUGACGCUGUGGCGUGUGAAUACACACUCACCAUUAUGAACCAUACCGACUUUGUAAGCUGGAGGAAAUGGGAUUUAAGGACACAGGCACUAACAGGUGAUUUUUUUGUGACGCUGUUGCGUGUGAAUAGGGAGGAACACACACUCACCAUUAUGAACCAUACCGACUUUGUAAGCUGGAGGAAAUGGGAAUUAAGGACACAGGCACUAACAGGUGAUUUUUUGUGACACUGUUGUGUGUGAAUAGGGAGGAACACACACUCACCAUUAUGAACCAUACCGACUUUGUAAGCUGGAGGAAAUGGGAAUUAAGGACACAGGCACUAACAGGUGAUUUUUUGUGAUGCUGUUGUGUGUGAAUAGGGAGGAACACACACUCACCAUUAUGAACCAUACCGACUUUGUAAGCUGGAGGAAAUGGGAAUUAAGGACACAGGCACUAACAGGUGAUUUUUUUGUGACGCUGUUGCGUGUGAAUACACACUCACCAUUAUGAACCAUACCGACUUUGUAAGCUGGAGGAAAUGGGAAUUAAGGACACAGGCACUAACAGGUGAUUUUUUUUGUGAUACUGUUGUGUGUGAAUAGGUAGGAACACACACUCACCAUUAUGAACCAUACCGACUUUGUAAGCUGGAGGAAAUGGGAUUUAAGGACACAGGCACUAACAGGUGAUUUUUUUGUGACGCUGUUGCGUGUGAAUAGGGAGGAACACACA